rnacentral:rRNA from 1 species
GACGAACGCUGGCGGCGUGCCCAAUACAUGCAAGUCGAACGCAGUGGGGACGGGUGAGUAACACGUGGGUAACCUCCCAUCAGAGGGGAUAACACUUGGAAACAGGUGCUAAACCGAUACUGAUGGAUGGACUCGCGGUGCAUUAGCUAGUGGGUGAGGUAACGGCUCGCCAAGGCAACGAUGCAUAGCCGACCGGAGAGGGGAGUCAGCCACACUGGGACGGAGACACGGCCCAGACUCCUACGGGAGGCAGCAGAAGGGAAUCUUCGGCAAUGGACGAAAGUCUGACCGGGCAACGCCGCGUGAGUGAAGAAGGUUUUCGGAUCGUAAAACUCUGUUGUUAGAGAAGCGGUAUCUAACCAGAAAGCCACGGCUAACUACGUGCCAGCAGCCGCGGUAAUAC